rnacentral:rRNA from 1 species
AUUGAACGCUGGCGGCAGGCCUAACACAUGCAAGUCGAGCGGUAGCGGGAAGAAGCUUGCUACUCUGCUGACGAGCGGCGGACGGGUGAGUAAUGUAUGGGGAACUGCCUGAUGGCGGGGGAUAACUACUGGAAACGGUAGCUAAUACCGCAUAACGUCGCAAGACCAAAGCGGGGGACCUUCGGGCCUCGCGCCAUCAGAUGCACCCAAAUGGGAUUAGCUAGUAGGUGGGGUAACGGCUUCACUAGGCGCCGAUCCCUAGCUGGUCGGAGAGGAUGACCAGCCACACUGGAACUGAGACACGGGCCAGAAUCCCACGGGGGGCAGGAGUGGGGAAUAUUGCACAAUGGGCGCAAGCCUGACGACGCAACGCCGGGUGGAGGACGAAGAUCUUCGGGUCGUAAACUCCUGUCGAGCGGGACGAAUGGUGCGCGGGUGAAUAACCUGCGGAGUUGACGGUACCGCAAAAAGAAGCCCCGGCUAACUCCGUGCCAGCAGCCGCCGUAAAAC